ACGAACGCUGGCGGCGUGCUUCACACAUGCAAGUCGAACGGAAAGGCCCUGCUUUUGUGGGGUGCUCGAGUGGCGAACGGGUGAGUAACACGUGAGUAACCUGCCCUUGACUUUGGGAUAACUUCAGGAAACUGGGGCUAAUACCGGAUAGGAGCUCCUGCUGCAUGGUGGGGGUUGGAAAGUUUCGGCGGUUGGGGAUGGACUCGCGGCUUAUCAGCUUGUUGGUGGGGUAGUGGCUUACCAAGGCUUUGACGGGUAGCCGGCCUGAGAGGGUGACCGGCAACAUUGGGACUGAGAUACGGCCCAGACUCCUACGGGAGGCAGCAGUGGGGAAUAUUGCACAAUGGGCGGAAGCCUGAUGCAGCAACGCCGCGUGCGGGAUGACGGCCUUCGGGUUGUAAACCGCUUUCGCCUGUGACGAAGCGUGAGUGACGGUAAUGGGUAAAGAAGCACCGGCUAACUACGUG
rnacentral:rRNA from 1 species